GACGAACGCUGGCGGCGUGCCUAAUACAUGCAAGUAGAACGCACAGUUUAUACCGUAGCUUGCUACACCAUAAACUGUGAGUUGCGAACGGGUGAGUAACGCGUAGGUAACCUGCCUGGUAGCGGGGGAUAACUAUUGGAAACGAUAGCUAAUACCGCAUAAUAUUGAUUAUUGCAUGGUAAUUGAUUGAAAGAUGCUAUUGCAUCACUACCAGAUGGACCUGCGUUGUAUUAGCUAGUAGGUGAGGUAACGGCUCACCUAGGCGACGAUACAUAGCCGACCUGAGAGGGUGAUCGGCCACACUGGGACUGAGACACGGCCCAGACUCCUACGGGAGGCAGCAGUAGGGAAUCUUCGGCAAUGGACGAAAGUCUGACCGAGCAACGCCGCGUGAGUGAAGAAGGUUUUCGGAUCGUAAAGCUCUGUUGUAAGAGAAGAACGGGUGUGAGAGUGGAAAGUUCACACUGUGACGGUAUCUUACCAGAAAGGGACGGCUAACUACGUG
rnacentral:rRNA from 1 species